rnacentral:lncRNA from 1 species
AGGGAGAGAGAGAGAGAGAAAGAGAGGUGUGAGAGAAGAAGAGAGAAAAGGAAAAGAGAAGUUUGACGGCUAGGGUUUCCUAGUCUCUCUAAAUCUCUGCAGAGCUUCGCUCAAGUUUCAGAAUGAGAGAAAAGAAGAGCUGCAUCUCUUUUUAUAGGAAAUGAUGAAGGGAACCGUAGGUUUUUGUCAAAUGGGCCGUAGAGAAGCCCAUUCUUUUAUGAAAAUUUUUGGGCCAGGAACUGGGCCGUUACAAUAAUGCUUGUCAUGAAUCAUAAUGAAUAUCAUAUAUAAUUAAAAUGUAUAUACUGAUUAUACAUAUUUUAAUUUUUGUCAACAUUAUCAUGUCUUAUAAU